rnacentral:misc_RNA from 1 species
AAGUCGUAACAAGGUUACCGUAGGUGAACCUGCGGUAGGAUCAUUAGAAAUGAUGUCCAUCAACCAACCCAUGUGAACCUGUGACGCGACAUUGGCGCGCCUGGUCUAUGCCAGACGCGUCAACCGUUUGUUUAACGCCUAAGACUUCUCUAAGUGUAUGCUGAACAUUAAAAAUUCAACAACAACUUUUAGCAACGGAUCUCUUGGCUCUC